rnacentral:rRNA from 1 species
ACUCAAAUGAAUAGACGGGGGAGCGCACAACCAGUGGAGCAUGUGGUUUAAUCCGAGACGAAGCGAAGACCUUACCUAGGUUUGACAUGUACCUGCAAGCUUUUGGAAACAUUAGCCGCCUUCGAGGGUGGUACACAGGUGAUGCAUGGCUGUCAUCAGCUCGUGGCGUGAGUCGUCUGCUUAAGUGCAGGAACGAGCGCAACCCCUGCUGUGUGUUGUAUUUCACACAGGACUGCUCAUCUACAAGAUGGGAGGAAGGAGGGGAUGAUGUCAAGUCUUCACGUCCCUUACAUCUAGGGCCACACACAUCCUACAAUGGCGUCGACAACGGGUCGCGACGGGGUAACCCUGAGCUAAUCCUAACAAAUGACGCCUCAGUUCAGAUUGAGGGCUGAAACUCGCCCUCAUGAAGUUGGAAUUGGUAGUAAUCGCGAAUCAGCUGGUCGCGGUGAAUACGUUCUCGCUCCUUGUACACACCGCCCGU